UAGGGAAUCUUCCACAAUGGGCGCAAGCCUGAUGGAGCAACACCGCGUGAGUGAAGAAGGGUUUCGGCUCGUAAAGCUCUGUUGUUAAAGAAGAACACGUAUGAGAGUAACUGUUCAUGCGUUGACGGUAUUUAACCAGAAAGUCACGGCUAACUACGUGCCAGCAGCCGCGGUAAUACGUAGGUGGCAAGCGUUAUCCGGAUUUAUUGGGCGUAAAAAGAGUGCAGGCGGUUUUCUAAGUCUGAUGUGAAAGCCUUCGGCUUAACCGGAGAAGUGCAUCGGAAACUGGAUAACUUGAGUGCAGAAGAGGGUAGUGGAACUCCAUGUGUAGCGGUGGAAUGCGUAGAUAUAUGGAAGAACACCAGUGGCGAAGGCGGCUACCUGGUCUGCAACUGACGCUGAGACUCGAAAGCAUGGGUAGCGAACAGGAUUAGAUACCCUGGUAGUCCAUGCCGUAAACGAUGAGUGCUAGGUGUUGGAGGGUUUCCGCCCUUCAGUGCCGGAGCUAACGCAUUAAGCACUCCGCCUGGGGAGUACGACCGCAAGGUUG
rnacentral:rRNA from 1 species